rnacentral:rRNA from 1 species
GUUUGGGCUAGGGGGUCAUCCCGACUUACCAACCCCAUGCAAACUCCGAAUACCAGUAAGUAAUAUCCGGGAGACACACGGCGGGUGCUAACGUCCGUCGUGAAGAGGGAAACAACCCAGACCGCCGGCUAAGGUCCCAAAGUUCUGGUUAAGUGGGAAACGAUGUGGGAAGGCUCAGACAGCUAGGAUGUUGGCUUAGAAGCAGCCAUCAUUUAAAGAAAGCGUAAUAGCUC